GACAGGGAGGGGGUGGCGGGUGGGAGCCCACACUAAGUGCAUGGUUUCAUCCUUCCUCAGGCUCUGCUUGUCAUGGCUGAAAUCCCCUGGACUGCAUUGGGACCAUACCGCUGAGAGUCUGGUCGCUGGGCUUCAGCUGACAGAACAUCAGAGCCCCAGGACCGAAGAGCCACAGGUUGGGAAGCUGCCACCACUGGGAAUGGUACAUUCAGGAGGGCAUGGUUUUACAGAGAAGUUUGAGGCCCAGAGAUGUGUGAGCUGCACUCCAAGUCACACAGCAAGUUUGGUUCAUUAGCAGGCUGCCAAUGUCUUGACUUCGCCCCCAUCCCCAAGAGUGACUCAGUGUCUGCUGGACCCGGGAGUGCGGAUGCGGGGCAGUGCGAAGCUGCUUCGGGUUGCCCAGUGCCACUCCCUGCAGAGCAAACCCACUCCUCGAGGCCCCGAGGCUCCGUCCUGUCACUGGGCUCUCCUGUAUUCACGUGUGACGGCGCAGGCUGUCAAGUGAAACAUGACCUCAGGGUCAGCCUGGCCUGCCUCUGGGGCUGCAUUAUUUGCUGGGUUUCCAACAUGGCGAUACCACCCACACUGUCCGGUCACAAACAAGACCAUUAUGGCGAUACCACCCACACUGUCCGGUCACAAACAAGACUGGCACCGCCAGGUUUCCCUGCUCCUGCUCCCUCAAACCAUUGAAUCAGCCCCUCUCUCGCUAUUGGAUGAGAGGGGCUGCCAGGACCACGCCCCUCCUCCCCACGGCCAAGGUGACCACACAUCUAGGUGUCAGGGGUGGUGGGCCCACUGCAGAGCGCUAGGCCGAACUCAUCUCCUGGAUCCAGGCCAAGCUCCACCUCUCUGUCCCUCCAGACUCAAGUUGGUGAUUUGUAUCGUGAGAGCUGGACAAAACUGUAUCUAAGCUCCCCAUCUUCCCUCAAAGCUUGGCCUGGGGAGCCCUACAUGAAACCUUGGAGGUUCUGAGCCUUCCGCCACCCCCAGCGGGGGACUUUUCAUUCUGUGAAAGUCUCCAAGUAACAUUCUAAAGAGGCAACGUGAGAGCCAAUCAGAGAGCCUAUGUAAAUAACGGCCCUCUGAUUGGCUGUCUCCUUCACGCCCUGAACGAAACUUCAACUUCAUCAACUCAGCGAAGAUUUUUUCCUCUGGCCUUGCGCGCCCUGCAGGAGGCGGGGCUGGGGGUCACCCGAGCCUUCUCCCAGCCGCAGGGUACCUGGGCCUGCCGAAUGGGACCGCGCUGGGACAGGCGGGGGCGAGUUCGCCGCCCUGACCCUGGUCCCGGGGGCGUUAUUCUGGUGCAGAAUCCCCCGCGGGGAGGCCCGAUAAGUGAGCCACCCUUUCUUUGUAGGACCGCCACGGAACGGGCUGCAGGCCGCGAGUGUAGAGCUUGGCUGGGCCAGAUCGAUAUCUGCCCGCUGGACUGAUGCGCGAGGGAGGCUGCGAGACAGGCUAGCUUUGCUGCAGUGUGAUGGCCGUGCAGCACCCACCGACCCCCACAGCUCCCCCACCCCGCCAUUUCCUUCAUCUAGCGCUCCAGGGGAAACCGAGGCGGGCAAGUGGCGUAGCGAUGGAGGGCGCACCCAGGGGCAACGACGCUCCCUCGCUCUGGCUCCCAGCUCUGGUGGCGGGGGUGAGGGUAGCCCAGGGUCGCACCCUGCUCCCAACCUCGGCUCGUCCCCACCCUCCACGGUCGUCCGCAGCUCUGCGUUUCUGCCAGUAUCGUGACCCCUCGCCCCGUCCUUCGCCCUCCUCCCACUUUCAUUGUGUGUCUCCUCUCUGGCUCUGAGGUUCCUCCUCCCUCCCUUCUCUCUCUGGGUGUCUCCGUGUCUAUCUCCACAUCUCCAUCUCCAUUUCUUUCUCUGCCUGUCUCUGCCUCUAGCUGUCUCUGUCCCUCAGUCUCUGCUCAGGUCUCCGCUCGCCUUUUGCUCAUUUUCGUUCCUCCCUUUGUCUGUCUGACUCUCUCUUCUCUCCCCCGCUUCAGUCACCCCCCAACCCCCCGCACACACACACACCUCACAGCCCUGUUUACGACAUCCCCUGGGCUGGCAGGUAGGCGGGGCUGCAGCAGGCGGGGGUGAGAGAGGGAGACGCAGCCUCCCCCCCAGCUGUUAACCUUCACGCUUCAGGCCUCUGCGGAUGGCAGAGGAGGGGGAAAGCCCAGCUGCCAGCUUGGCGGAGGUGACCGGGCGGGGGUUGGGGGCUGUCCCUCCCUCUGGGCUCGUCUCUGGGGAGAUCUGGGGCCGGAAGGAAUGUGGUGGAGGCUGCCUUCGGCUGAGGAAGGCUGUUGCCGGAUGGGUGGCCUCCUGAAGGCUUGUGCUGGCGAGGCGGGUGCCCAAAGGGGGCUCUGAGCGGUGUCGGCCCUGCCCGCAGCCCGGCCGGACGUGGGGGCCGGCGUGAGAAUCCCGCCCAUCUGUGAGCCGGCCUCACGCCGUCAGACCCAAUUUAUCUCGCCGCCAAAGUUUCACAGCCAUCUGCUCGAGUGGAACGGCUUCCAGCGCUGGCCCCACCGGGCCCCCCAGCCAGCGCGGGGAUGUUUUCCAAUACGACAGCAUUGCCCCCCCAAAGCAAGGAGGGGGUGUAGGGGGAGGCGGCAGAGCGCGGUGCGCGGGGCUGGCAGGCAGCCCUCUCCCGCGAGCGAGCCGACCCUGAAUUUUAAGCGAUUGAUCAGGAAGCGCAGGCCGUUCCCAUCACUUUGAGCAGCCAAAUGCGACGGCGCAGGGAUUUCAAGGGGCCUUUGCGGAGGCGGUAAUGAGGUCACCGUCACUGCGCCAGCCCGCGGGCGGGAGGGGGCGAAGGUCUGCGGACACGUGUGAACACAGCCACAUCUGUAUUCACGUGACCCCCGGGGCCCCAGCACUGACCCAGGAGAACUCGGCAUUUGGAUCUGAGCUGAUUCACACUCCGCCGCCCCCAGCCCACCUCCCCAACCAGACAGGGUCGGAGAGACUGAGCUAGAACCCACCCUUGCCACAUCCAUGAUUCCAUGAUCACCUCAGACAGCUUCAGCGCAGGAGCUUCCACUCUCUUCUCCUCCCCGCUAUGUGCCUAAAAUACACAUAUUUGGGCACCUGCCCAUUGCACUUGUGAACAAGCCUGCAGAGACAGAUGUACCCUAGGCCCCCGGUAAUCACACAGGUGCACACAUUACAAUUACACACCUGACCGCAAUGCUCAUGCAUUGGUACACUCCCAACCAUCACCACUACCAGCCCCAAACAUGCACACAGGUACUCCAUCAUUCUCAAGUCAGCCACCCAGCAACACACGAGACCCCAAACUCCCCUCCCCCCGGGCACACGCAUGUGCACACUCAUUCCCAAGACCCCGAGCUUGCUGCCAUGUCCGCGCGGGUGGGCGCCUCCACUGCCCGCCAGGCAGCGGGGGUGCAGACCUCGAAGAGAACAAAGGCGGGGCAGGUGGGAGGGAGGGGGGCUGAGCCCCCGGCCCGUCCUCCUAGGCAAUGCUCGUCUGUCUCGGCUCCGCGGCCACCGCAUCGAGCGGCUCUGAUUACCAAGUAAAUCACCGCGAUGAUGUGAAUAAUUAUCAUCUCCUGAAAAGGGAAAAAACAGGGAAUAAAUAAAGGGAGAAGGGAGCAGCCACCUGAUUUCUAGAAGCCCUGGUGUAUGUCAGGGGGGUGAAUACAUAGGGGUGGGUGUCAGUGGCCCCCUGCAGAUCCUCGGGACUUCUGCUGGGAUGCAGUGCAGGUGGGGUAGGAUGGGCCUCAAGGCAGACAGUCCUUCCUUAGAGGUGGCAGUUAGCAUCCAGUCUCCCCUCUUCCUCUCCCCAGGGUAAGUCAGGCCCCCGGAGCACCCAACCAAACCCAGCUGGCCUCUCUGCUCCUCACACACUCAGGCCCACCCGACCUGUAGGGCACCCUCCUGUUCCAGGGCUUUGCUCAGCAGGUUCCCCUCUAGCAUGCCCUCUUCCCACUUCUCUGGCUGGCUUCACUCUCCCAUCUCUGAAGUCCAGCCCCACGUUACUUCCUCUGAGAACUUCUUCCUGACUGCCCAGCCCUCCAGGAUCCUCCUUUCCCAGAGUUCCAGUGUCUGAUUGCAUUUUCCCUGACUGAUUUGGGUGUGUUCUCUUGAUCUUCUCAGCCGGAUGGCAGCUUUGGUGGAAGCAGCUAUGUUUUAAGCAAAGCAGUAAUAGUGGCAACAGCAGCAGCCACUACCCUGUUCUGAGCAUUUAGGAUGUGUUGGCCCUGUGCCAAAACACCCUUUCACCAUGGAUCCUCCCCAGAAUCCUGUGUGGAAAGUAAUGUCUCCAUUUUAGUAAUGGGGAAACUGAGGCUUACCAAGAAUGAAGCUUGGAUUCCUUUCCUCCGGGAUGAAGAUGCUGGUCAUCUACGGCACCUUUUCUGCGCUUGUCACCUGAUCCCACAUAUUGGAGGAGCUGCUCCUCUUCCAGUGCUGAGCACUAAGAACACAAUUACCUCAACUGGCUGGGCACAGUGGCUCACGCCUGUAAUCCCAACACUUUGGGAGGCCAAGGUGGGCAGAUUGCUUGAGCCUAGGAGUUUGAGACCAGCUUGGGCAACAUGACAGAACACGAUCUCUACAAAACAAACAAAUGAAAAACACCAAAAAUUAGCUGGGUAUGGUGGUGUGAGCCUAUAAUUCCAGCAGUUUGGGAGACUGAAGAGGAAGGAUGAUUUGAGCCCAGGAGGUUGAGGUUGCAGUGAACUGUGAUUGUGCCACUAUACUCCGGCCAGGGCAACAGAGCGAGACUGUCUUAAAAAAAAAAAAAAAAAAAAAAAAAAAAAAAAAA
rnacentral:lncRNA from 1 species